GGCAGUGUAGCAUAGUGGUUAAGGAGGAGGACUUGUAAUCGAAAGGUUGCUGGUUCGAUUCCCCGCUGGGA
rnacentral:tRNA from 1 species